CACGUAGGCACCAAGCGUUGUCCGGAUUUAUUGGGCGUAAAGAGCUCGUAGGCGGUUGAGUAAGUCGGGUGUGAAAACUCUGGGCUUAACCCAGAGCCGCCACUCGAUACUGCUCUGACUUGAGUUCGGUAGGGGAGUGGGGAAUUCCUGGUGUAGCGGUGAAAUGCGCAGAUAUCAGGAGGAACACCGGUGGCGAAGGCGCCACUCUGGGCCGAAACUGACGCUGAGGAGCGAAAGCGUGGGUAGCAAACAGG
rnacentral:rRNA from 1 species